GACGAACGCUGGCGGCGUGCUUAACACAUGCAAGUCGAACGGUGAAGCGCCUUCCUUUUUGGUGGGUGUGGAUGAGUGGCGAACGGGUGAGUAACACGUGAGUAACCUGCCCCCUUCUUCUGGAUAACCGCAUGAAAGUGUGGCUAAUACGGGAUAUUCUGGGUCUGUCGCAUGAUGGGUCUGGGAAAGAUAUUGUUUCGGUGGGGGAUGGGCUCGCGGCCUAUCAGCUUGUUGGUGGGGUGAUGGCCUACCAAGGCGGUGACGGGUAGCCGGCCUGAGAGGGUGGACGGUCACACUGGGACUGAGACACGGCCCAGACUCCUACGGGAGGCAGCAGUGGGGAAUAUUGCACAAUGGGCGCAAGACUGAUGCAGCGACGCCGCGUGAGGGAUGGAGGCCUUCGGGUUGUGAACCUCUUUCGCCAGUGAAGCAGGCCUGCCUCGUUUGUGGGUGGGUUGACGGUAGCUGGAGAGGAAGCGCCGGCUAACUACGUG
rnacentral:rRNA from 1 species